AUUCCGAUUCAUUUCCGGCUAAACUUUACUGGGUUGGUGCGUUUGAUUCGACGAUCGUUUGUGUGUCACAUAAGGUUUGUUCCAGUACCAGGAGAAACUGGAAGUACUCCGGAGCAAACAGGGAGAAAACCGUUCCUGUACUAUCUUCUCUUUUUUCUUCUUCUGGUGGCAAACCGGAGUGAAAAGGAGCAAGAAUUUUUUGCUCCGGAGCAACAGGGAGUAACUUCCAUGUACUGGAACAAACCCAUAAUUAACUGUGAACGGGUUCUCCACCAGCACGGUAUCCCAGUUAAACUCAUUCCGGAACCGGUUCGGAUUUCUGAAUGGAGUCAUUAUGGAUUCCCAAUCAAAUGCAACAACCGAUUCCGACUCAGAAUCGGUUGUUGCAUUUGAUUUGGAAUCCAUAAUGACUCCAUUCAGGAUUCCGAAUCAAAUUCCGAAUGGUUUGACCAGGAUCCUGCUUUAAGAUCACAAGGUUAUUGCACUGCUUAACGACUUGCUGAAGGGUAAUAUCUGCUGUUUCGUUGAGUUUAUUGAUGAGCCGCAUCCGGAUCUCUGCCUCCUUGUUUGAUCAAAUCACCCGAAACGUAAAGUGCCUCAGCACUUAAACUGCUCCUCUGUCAGCUCCGAAAGUUUGAAGUCAACACCAGAUUUGUUUACCUUGCACGAGUGGGCGAGAUAAUCUUCACCGUCCUCCUUGGUUGUCUGGAGGCAAUUGUAACGCCGGCGAAAAGUGGACACUGUGGCUCCAAACAGCGCUUUCAACUUCUCGACGGUUUCAACGAAGGUGUACUCACGAGCAAGCUUUGGUAGAAUGAAGCUGUUGUAACGCUCGUGGUCUUGUGGGCUCAAUUGUCGUAGCAAAAGUCGUACCUUUGCAGCGUCAUCCAGUUUUCCAGCGUCUUUGUCAAAAAGAUCAGUAUAGCGGGAAAACCAUGCGCCGAACGUGUGCCCAUUGUCUUUGUCAUAUGUGAAUUCCGCCAUGUUGCUUGAAAGGGAAUCCAAUAUAACCUCAUCACGAGACAAGUUCUUGAUGGCUUCCUGCGUGGCGGCCAACUGCUGUGACAUUUUUGUCAUAAGUGCCUGCUGGUUGGUGAGGAUGGUUACAACCACUUCCGAGACCUGGUCUGCUGCUGUUGCCGGGUCCCAGCACCUGGUACAGGAACUGUUCCUCCUUUGGUUGCCAUGUGCAAAAUUUUCCGCUCUUGACUGAUUCGUUGAACUGCUUACCACAGAGAACAGACAUCCAUGCUCAUACAAAUAAGUAUAAAAAACUUGUGUAAACAUUUGAAUGAAAAACCGUUGGAACACUAGCGCCACCAUACCAGUGUAUCCCAAGUAGAGGCCGAAGCAUUUGAAGUAUAUCGACCAUUUUUAAUUGUCUAUCUGAUCAACUCAGGGUAGCCAGAUUGAAUGCAUAUUAUCGGUAGACUUAUUUAAAGUUUGUCGACAGGUCGUUUGGGAGGUUGUAUUUUUGUUUCAAAUAGAUAAAGUAAACAUAGUUAUGCAAAACAGUGAACCACGCAAACGGCGAACGACGCAUCGAACAAGUUAAGAAAAUUAUUUGUAUUGUAUUCUGGUCACUUGUCACUUGUAAAUCGGUACCUACGUAAAAAAAUGGUAGGACUAACUGCCGAUAAAUCGGUAGGUCUGGCCACCCUGAAGUUAUCAAAACAAAUGAUUAGUCGCUGUGCCGCAGUUGUUUAUUUUGUUUGUUUUAAAGGUAGCCGAAAGUUUAAAAUCGUUUAUAAUCUGCAUUAAUUUUCUGUGUGACAAUUUGGAGUGGUCCGAUUACUGCUUACAUGGGACGAGACUAGACGAAACUGAGGAUCGACCAAUUCUACGAUCGGAUAUCUUCGUUGGAUGUUCCAUGAGACAUUUAUUACUUAGAGGGGCUAAGAACGGGAAAACCCUUAUUUUGAACUGCAGUACAAUACUACGCAAUACGGUCGAAGCCCACCUUUUUCACGAUUUCAGUAAAGCAUCAAUUGUGUGAAUCAAUCGACGGACAAAGAUUACUUGCUAACUGUAUGAGAAUCUAGUGGGUGUGAAUCGCAAGUGAACAACUGCAAGCGCAGAUUACCGGACUGUGAAGGAAGAAGCCACAUACCGAUCACAGGAGCUAGGUAGAAUCAUUCAUCGACAAUUCGUGGAGCAACCUGACCAACCAAACGAAAAUAUAUCGAUUAUACAGGUCAGGUAUUUCUUGCCCACGCGCGGCAAGCCGAGGGAGUUUAACCUAACCAGUGAUCUAAUUGUUAAUUCAUCUGAAUAGUUCGCUCGCAAGCAAAAAGUCGAUAGAUUUCUGUAUGCGCUAGUUACUGAAAGGAAUCAGUCCCAAUCUGGACAAUAUGGCUCGCCGGUAUCAAUCAAUGAAUGCCCCAUGCAGAUAGCUGUUUACUGUAACUGAAACAGAACAAGCAAAUAUUCAUAGAUAGUGAAACACAAUACUUUCCUUGACGAUGAUUACAAAUAUAGGUUGAAUGCGUGUAGGUACAUAACGCAUAACAUUUCCUGUUAUGUGGGAUUUGUACAAAUAAUGCAAAUAUGAGAAUUUGGAUGUAAUUAAAGUUUCAAUUAUACAUACAUAAAUAAGUGUAAAACUAAAGAAUAUAUUUUAAUACAUGGAUACAUAUUAAGAACAGA